rnacentral:rRNA from 1 species
CCAAUAGCGUAUAUUAAGGUUGCUGCGGUUAAAAAGCUCGUAGUUGAAUUUCGGGAUUGAUGCAUCGGUCGUGCCUUAAGGGGUAUGAGCUGGUGUGGUCAAUUUUUUACCUUCUGGUGAAUUGUGAUGUCCUCCUCAAUUGGGUGUUUCAAUGAACUAGGACUUUUUACUUUGAAAAAAUUAGAGUGUUUAAAGCAGGCAUUAUUUGCUUGAAUACAUUAGCAUGGAAUAAUAAAUAGGACAAUGAUUCUAUUUUGUUGGUUUCUAGGAUCACUGUAAUGAUUAAUAGGGAUAGUUGGGGGCAUUAGUAUUCAAUUGUCAGAGGUGAAAUUCUUGGAUUAAUUGAAGACUAACUAUUGCGAAAGCAUUUGCCAAGGAUAUUUUCAUUAAUCAAGAACGAAAGUUAGGGGAUCGAAGACGAUUAGGUACGUCGUAGUCUUAACCAUAAACUAUGCCGACUAGGAAUCAGACAACGUUAAAUUUUUAAUGACUUGUUUGGCACCUUACG